CAGUCGCCACGGUAAUACAGAGGGUGCGAGCGUUAAUCGGAUUUACUGGGCGUAAAGCGUGCGUAGGCGGCUUCUUAAGUCGGAUGUGAAAUCCCUGAGCUUAACUUAGGAAUUGCAUUCGAUACUGGGAAGCUAGAGUAUGGGAGAGGAUGGUAGAAUUCCAGGUGUAGCGGUGAAAUGCGUAGAGAUCUGGAGGAAUACCGAUGGCGAAGGCAGCCAUCUUGCCUAAUACUGACGCUGAGGUACUAAAGCAUGGGGAGCAAACAGGAUUAGAUACCCGAGUAGUCCCUGUCUCUUAUAC
rnacentral:rRNA from 1 species